rnacentral:rRNA from 1 species
AGUGAACGCUGGCGGCGUGCCUAAUACAUGCAAGUCGAACGGAGUGGGGCACGGGUGAGUCAUGUAUAGCUAAUCUGCCCUACACUAGAGGACAACAGAUGGAAACGACUGCUAAUACUCUCUAGUGUACGAUGGGGCUAUAUUGUAUCAGCUAGUUGGUGAGGUAAUGGAUCACCAAGGCUAUGACGCAUAACUGGUCUGAGAGGAUGAGCAGUCACACGGGAACUGAGACACGGUCGGGACUCCUUCGGGAAGGAGCAAUAGCGAAUAUAGCUCAAUGGGGGAAACCCUGAAGCGGCAUCGCGGCGUGGAGGAUGACACUUUUCGGGGCGUAAACUCCUUUUGUUAGGGAAGCGGUACCUAACGAAUAAGCACCGGCUAACUCCGUGCCAGCAGCCGCGGUAAUAC